rnacentral:rRNA from 1 species
GUCCAAGCAGUAAACGUUGAAUAUUAAACACAAGAAAUUUUGUGUUAAAGAUAACUCAUUAAAUAUUCCGCCUGAGUACUACGAUCGCAAGAUUAAAAUUCAAAAUAUUUGACGGUUCCUAAUUUCCGUCCGGAGGAGCAUGUGGUUUAAUUCGACAACCCACGAGAAAUCUUACCUAACCUGGUUUAGACAACAUUACAAAAGUAAAAGUUUAAUCAGAUGCUGCAUGGCUGCCGU